CUGACCAACAAUUAAAGCAGAAGACCUGCUCCACCUGCUGAUCUACUGGUUGUAAGAGAUUGUGGAAAAGCAUAACUGAGACAAGACAACAGCACUGAACCAAUCAGGAGAGAGAAGACACAGAAAAUCCUGCUGGAAAUCCCGAGAUGAAGUUUCCUGAUGCAACAGGGGGAAACCUGAGGACACAGAAUAAAGAAGGACCAUGUGAAACUCAUGAAGAGGAUGGUCAGAGUUGUCCAUAGCUUUCUUGACUCUUAUGAAGAAUCCUUCUUUGCAUCAUCUCCAGAGGUUCCCCAGUCGUCUCCAGAACAGAACCAGAACAAAUCCAGCCUUCUUUAUCAGAUUGUUGAGCCUUUUGAGGUUCCUGGCUCUGAUGCUGCUGCACCAACAGAUGAUAGCAGAAGAGAUGACACUCUCAGCAUCAGACUUAAAGAUCUGCAGCAACUUGCUGCAAAUCUUGAAGGAUCGUAGCUUCCUCGAGAAGCGCAGUCUGCUCUGUCUCUUUUUAUAGACGGCUUCACUGUUGCGUCUCCAGUCCAGUCUGUGUUCCAGAUGAACACCGAGGUAUUUAUAUUCCUGAACCACCUCCACAUCUUCUCCCAUGAUGGAAAUAGGGUUUCCUGUUUCUCCUGAAAUCAACAACCAUCUCCUUUGUUUUGUUUACAGUCAAGAUUAGAUGAUUGUUCCCACACCAGGCCACAAAGUGAUCCACCAGAUCUCUGUACUCAGCCUCUUGUCUUCCUCUGAUACACACAACAACUGCAGAGUCGUCUGAGUAUUUCUGUAGAUGACAGAAGUUGGACUUGUGCGGGAAGUCUGAACAGUAGAGAGUGAAAAUGAAUGGUAGUCACAGAUGCAGGUGAUUGUUGAGGCCUCCACCUGUGUCUUCUGGAGUUUCUAACGGAGCAGAUCAGGCUGAAUUGUGUUCAAUGCACCUGAGAACCAAAGACCCUGAUCCUCACUGUGCUGCCUGCUUUGUCCAGAUGACAGUGGGUUUGUUGAAGCAGGUGUCUGAUCAACUCCAACUCCACGGUGAUAAGCAAACUGCAGGGGGUCCUGAUAUCUGAUCGUCUGCUUACUCAAGUGGGCCACCAGGAGUCUCUCCAGGACCUUCAUGAUGUGCGAUGCCAGGGCAACGGGUCUACAGUCGUUAUGACUGAUGGGUGACUUUUCUUCGGUACCGGAACCAGGCAGGAUGUCUUCCACAACAACGGAAACUCCUCUUGGGUCAGGCAAAGGUUGAAGAGAUGCUGCAGAAUCCCACAGAGGGACUCUGGGACCGACACCAUCUGGACCUGCAUCCUCGUUCCUGUUCAGUCUCUCCGGCUGCUUCUUCACCUGACUUCUAGAUACAGAAAAGUUGGAGGUGGAGGCAAAAGGGAGCAGCAGCGUCUCCUAAUGUGGUUGAAGACAAACUGGUGGAAGCAGAAGAGUCCAUGACUGAGGUGGAAGAUGGAACAUCUGAGGCUUGACAGGAAAGCUGUGGGUCAGAGGAGGAUGAGAUAUCUGGCUGCAGACAGGAGAGGAUGAUGAUGAUGAGCUUGUUCCUGGACUGAACCUGUUGAAGAAUGUGUUCAGCUCAUUUGCUCUGUCCAGAAACUAAUAUUGUUUAAAAAAAAGUCAUGGUAGCAUGUUGUUAUGUAAUAAUGUGCAUGUAAUGUUUGGAAUGAAGAAGAUAUGCUGCAUAAUCUGAUGUCAUUACAAAAGAGUUUUGUGUCUCAGUGCAAAAAUACACAUUUUGUUGGUUUCUGAAGAGUAAAAAUUGAACAAAUGUGUUAAUCACUUAAAGAUUAAGUUUAUAUUUCACAGUCAUCACAAUGCUAAAGAAAAGUCUGACAACAGUGUGAAAAUCAUGUUGUGGAAAGAAGAUAUUAAAGAAUGUAAUAU